GACAUUUCACAAUUGAAAGCAAUUUCAUCUUCCCCAUUUCACCACGUAUCCCAUAUUUUCUCUUUCUAAACCCUUCUCUUCUGAUAACAAAAUUCAAAAAUCUUAAGCUCAUAGGCAUCCAUUCCACCAGAACGUCAUGCACCACUGAUGCGGUGAUGCUACGGACUAUCACUUCCCAUCCACCGGUGUAAAUGGUGAAGUGAGGCAUCAUAUCUCUCAGUCAAUCAACGACACCCACCUUUUGCUUCUAUGAGGAUUACCAUCGAUUUUCUAACUGUGAUGGGUAAGUUUGAACCUUUUGGAGCUCUCCAAGAUAUUUUGGUUACUAUUUUUUUCCCUCUCACUCUGUCGAUGGAUCAUCAGUUCAGAGACUGUUCGGAUUUGUUCAAUCUUUAACUUGGUGAAAUUGAGGCCUUCAACGAAAGAGACUAUUUUUCUACCGCCAAAUAGCUUGCAUAAGAUAUUUUCCUGUCUCUUUAUUUGUGCUCCCAAUAUUUUUCUUUUAUAUACUGAGGUUGUUCGGAUUUGUUCAAUUUUCAACUUGGUGAAAUUGAGCCUUUCAACAAAAAACACGUAUUUUUCUGUCGCCAAAUAGCUCCCGCUCCGUUUAUGUAUGCUCAGUUCCUGUGUACUUUGAGUUAUAUUAUAUGUGGAUGAUUCAAGAGUCUGUAUUUUAUGUCAAAUGAUCUUUUCAGAAGUUGAAUUGCAAAUGUGAAUGAUUAAGUUGAGUAGCGGAGCUGAACUUCCUCAAUUGUGGUGGAGAAUGUAUAAUACCCAAUAUUUUGUUGCCAAUGACAUAUACCGUCGUUUGUUCUUACAUUUUCGCAUGGUAAAAAGUAUUAAGAUAUUUCUCUGUAGUGCUUAGUUCAAAGCCUAAAUAUGUGCAUUCAUAUGUUAACUUCCUUUCUGAAAGCUCUUCAAUUUUAUUAUGACAACGAAAUCUGUACCUGUUUCAGUAUUACAGCCCACAUGACAUAAAAGUGAGGUUACUACAUUAAGCAAGUCACUUGCUGCAAGUCGAUCGACAAAGUACUUAAAGGAAAGACUAUGAAGAAUCUACCAAAUAUUUUGGAGGGUACGAUCUUCAACCAGUGUUUUCAUUCGGACGUAACAAGUAAUGAAUCACAUGAAGUCUAAGUCCAUCUUAGUGUUCACUUUCUUCCACAUUAGAGAAAACAUUUGAGCCUUCUACUUGAAUACGUAUGCUAUAACACUACUACACAACACUCUUGUACAAAGAAGUAAUGUAGACCAAAAGUCGUCUUUUACUAUUGGAAUAAGAUCAUGAAUGUCAAAUACUACAUAAGCAGAAGAUGGUCCAGAAUGUGCGUAGAGGUAGUUGUGCUUUUUCCUGAAUAUUAUUGUUGAUGUCAUUUGAAGGUCUGAGAAUUCGGUGUGUUUGUAGAAUGCAGAGUCCUUGAAGUCAUAGCUGCUUUCUGCUGCUAAUUUUGUCCUAUGAUUUCAGUUAGUUAUACAUUCAUCUAGGUACAGUGCA